rnacentral:rRNA from 1 species
UAAGCGGAGGAAAAGAAACUAACANGGAUUCCCCUAGUAACUGCGAGUGAAGCGGGAAAAGCUCAAAUUUGGAAUCUGGUGGUCUUUGNCCAUCCGAGUUGUAAUUUAGAGAAGCGUCUUCCGCGCUGGACCGUGCACAAGUCUCCUGGAAUGGAGCGUCAUAGAGGGUGAGAAUCCCGUCUUUGGCAUGGAAUCCCAGGGCUUCUGUGUUGCGCUCUCGACGAGUCGAGUUGUUUGGGAAUGCAGCUCAAAAUGGGUGGUGAACUCCAUCUAAAGCUAAAUAUUGGCGAGAGACCGAUAGCGAACAAGUACCGUGAGGGAGAGAUGAAAAGCACUUUGGAAAGAGAGUGAAACAGUACGUGAAAUUGUUGAAAGGGAAACGCUUGAAGUCAGUCGCGUCGACCGAGACUCAGCCUUGCCUCGGCUUGGUGUACUUCUCGGCUUGACGGGUCAGCAUCGAUUUCAAACCUCGGAUAAUGGCAAGGGAAAGGUAGCACCUUUUUAGGUGUGUUAUAGUCCUCUGUCGCAUGCGAGGGUCGGGAUCGAGGAACUCAGCACGCACCUCAGGGUGUCGGGGCCUUGGCCCACGUUUACGUGCUUAGGAUGCUGGCGUAAUGGCUUUAAACGACC